AGAUUGAACGCUGGCGGCAUGCCUUACACAUGCAAGUCGAACGGCAGCACGGGAGCUUGCUCCUGGUGGCGAGUGGCGAACGGGUGAGUAAUACAUCGGAACGUACCCAGGAGUGGGGGAUAACGUAGCGAAAGUUACGCUAAUACCGCAUAUUCUGUGAGCAGGAAAGCGGGGGAUCGCAAGACCUCGCGCUCUUGGAGCGGCCGAUGUCGGAUUAGCUAGUUGGUGAGGUAAAAGCUCACCAAGGCGACGAUCCGUAGCAGGUCUGAGAGGAUGAUCUGCCACACUGGGACUGAGACACGGCCCAGACUCCUACGGGAGGCAGCAGUGGGGAAUUUUGGACAAUGGGGGCAACCCUGAUCCAGCCAUGCCGCGUGAGUGAA
rnacentral:rRNA from 1 species